GCGCUUUUUGGAGGGUCCUGUCCUUUUGCUUGGUUGGCGGUGAUCGCGAACGGAAGUUCUGUUGUACGUGGUGUGAUAGUGUCCCGAAUUCCAAGAGGUCUGAACCGUGCCGUUCCCUGAUAAACGGGCAGGGCACGCAUCGUCAUCCUCUACGUUAAAAGGGAAUUUUGGAAUAAAACCGAAAUCCCGCUGUCCGCCGAUUUCGUGGACUCACUGCCACGUGCUGAGUUCUGUUACUGAAGGUAAGCAGGUCCUAUUCCAAGGAUUACCUUGAGUUUCUUCUUGUUAUUUUGUUGUUUGCAUUGGCGGCAUUGUUAACCAAUGCACUUGGUUGUUAUUCGCAGAUUGUGUGUGGUUGAGCAGUGCUCGGUGGCGAGCCUCUGCGCUGUCUGCUGUUGCUGUUGAUGUUGCUGAUGUUGCCUCCAUAGCAGGUAUGUUGUGGUUUCUUUCUCAAACUCAUUCGCCUCUCCGCUGAGUUAGGAUGAAUUACUAGAAACGUGGCACUCGGUCACGGGCUACCCUACUUCAUAGGUUGGCUCCAUUUCUAUUGAGCUUGUUGACUAUUUUAGUUUACUUUGAAAAAGUAGAUUACCCACGUAAUGAUUACAUUUUACCAAAAUGUAAAUUCCUAAAUAAAUUUACCAUUGUAAUGAAUUACCGUUGGAUUUUGCUGUGUUCACAUUUGCUCCAUCCUCGAGAGCGAUGGAUUAUUGUUUUUAUAUUGUUUUUAGUAUUAUGUAUUGUGCUGUUGUAUAAUAUAAUUUCUUAUUGUACAAUAGGAGGUGUAUGGUACCGGCCAUUUUGUAUGGCACUGGCCAUAAAGGUGUUUGGCACCGGCUGUCCCGCAGUGCCAGACGCUUGCUGCGCCCGACGGGUGCGGAGGGGGUUGAGCCGAGUGGUGGAUAAUAGCGCGCUAAUCUUAAGUAUUUUUAAUCUGUACCAACCAAACGGCCCAACGACCCAUCCCUUCCUUUUUUAUCUAGUUUUAUUGUCUCACCCGCAAUAAAUUGUUGUCAAUUUAAAUAUCUAUUUUUUUAUUUUGCUCCGGCAAAAAUUUUUUAUUUACAUGGCGCCCGAACAGGGACGUUGUUGGGUCCGUGGAGGUUCUCCCUGGCACUGGUCUAUUGCUCAGUGACGGAUUGGUUGGUCAUCUUAAAUUUUUUUUGUUUCUGAUGCUGUUGUGAUAAUGUGUUGAGUGUGAUCAUGCUGUGUUAGUGUUUAGUUUAACUAAGAUUAGUUAAAAUAUUGUACCCUAUUUACUUUUUUUAUGAAAGUUAAUUUUGUAAAGUCAAUAUUAUGAAGGAGGAACGCCCUAUCCGUUUCAAUCUUUUGAACAAGGAUGAAUUAACUUACGAAGUUGUGAUCCGUGAUGCUGUGCCAGAGCGAACUGUACAGUUGUUGCGUGCUCAAAUUAAACGUUUGGCUCAGGAUAUACCUAGCGAUGAGGUGAGUGAGUUCGAGGGAGAUGCACUGGCUGAGCUCAGGAUUAUUUCUUUUAAGAUAGACGAGCUUGAGGAGCUCUGUGAUAGGAAACACCUAUUACUCAAACAACUUUAUCGCGUGCAGGCUUUAGGAAACCACAUCUUCCAUAGGUUGAGUCGUGUUGAGGCUGCGGAUGUAGAGGAUAGGACUUUGAGGGAACAGUUGGAGGAGCGUCUCAUCCCACUUUUAAAACGGAUCGACCGUAUGACGCACACAUUCGUUAGUAGUUAUGAUUUCCAACCUGCUGAGGAGGAAGUAUCUAGGGUCGCUGGUUUGGCUGCGAAUGAGUCGUCAAUGGUCAAACCGGUGAAUUGUAAUGCGUGUGUUCAUUCUUUGAAUGUGAGGUUUAACGGGAAAGAUAGUGUGCAGGAUUUUAUUGUUAGAAUUGAGGAGUUGUGUCUGUCUCGGAAUAUUUCGAGGGAGAAAUUAUUUAACUCGGCAGUUGAAUUAUUUACAGAUGAGGCUCUGUAUUGGUACCGAGGUACUCGUGACCAACUAAAUAGUUGGGAGGAUUUAAAGGCGUCGUUGCUGGAAGAGUAUUUGCCCUACGACUAUGAUCAUCGUUUGUUGCAGGAGAUUCGUUCGAGGACCCAAGGUCCCGACGCAGUGCCGGAUUAAGCCAGCGCGGGGCCUGUAGCAAAUUUAUAUCAAGGGGCCCUUGGUUUGCUUUAGGUUCUCAAGUUUAGGGUAUUAAAUGAAACAAAAUUAACUGUUACAAAUGAACUUUUCUUGAUUUAAUGUGGGAAAAUUUAGAGAUAACACUUUCAAUAUCAACUUAUUUAAGCAAAUCAUGCUCUAUAUUCAACAAAGUAAGAUGAUUAAGACGUUCUUGUCCCAUCGUGUUCCUUAAUUCAUUUUUAAUACGUUUUAAUGUUGAAAAAGAACGUUCGCCACUGCAGUUAGUGAUCAUGAGAGACAUGUAAAUGCGCAAGGCAAUUUCUAAGUUUGGAAAACACGAUUCUAAAGAAUUAUUUAUUAAAAGUUUUUAAAAUUUUUAAAAAUGAUUAGUUUUUCAAAUGUAGUUUGUAAAAUGAUCUUUUGUCAUACGUUUUUUGUUAAAUAAUAGUAAACCUCAUUUUUUAAUUAUCCGCUUUUUUACUUGAGUCUCUAAAACACCUUGCUCUUAAUCUACCGUCACUAGCUUUCAAUAAUCUCGAAACAUGAUCGAUAUGAUAAUCGAUUAAAAAGGUUAGCUAUAUUCACUCAUAAAAAAAAUGAAUCUAUAUUUUAUAAUAAAUCAACCAACUAUAGUAGAUUGGAUCGUGACUGAAUUAAUAAAAUUUAAAUAGUUCGCCUGUUUUCUCGAAAUAUUGAUAAUCGAUAUUAUAUUAAAAUCGAUUAAAAAAGUAUAAUCUCGGCUACCUACGUAAACUCAUAAAAUAAAUGUAUAUACCUAUAGAAAAAAAUACAAAUCUGGCCGCUUGAAGGGUAGAAAUGUGGUAUCUAUAGAUGCUAGUCUAAAUUUAAACAUUAUAGGCCAGUAGAAUUACAUUUUAAAUCGGAAAUGUGAAUUACAUUUUAAGGCUGACAAUAGUGUCUGAGUUUCUUGCGCUGCUUCUUCUCAGCACUGGCCCAUUUAUUGUCCUGAAGCAGUGGUAGGGUUAAUACUGGGUCGUGUAAAAGUGCUUUUUUAAUAAAGCCUACUUACAGAAAUAAAUGAGUUUUACUGAGUUUUUACUAAAUAAUUCCUACAAAAGAUUUUAUCGCUUUAAUGGCUUCAUUGGUUGCCCAUUAAGACUCUCCUAGGUUUUCGACUUCGACGGAGUUUACGGAGACGCUUUAUAGGUUUUCCGGUUAUACCGCGUAAAGGACUAUCGAAAAGUGGUCUUCCUGACGGUUGAAGGGCAUUUAAUCCUGCAUUAAAUAAGACCAAAUAUACAACGUGUCCCAAAAUUCAAGGAUAAGCCGGCGCCGCAGGGUGGACAUAGUCAUGACUACUUUAGGAAAAAUAAGAAAAAAAAUAUAUCUCAAUUAUUUUUUAAGUUACACAAUAAAUUAUGAAAUUCGUCGAAAGUUGACACCCCUUAUGAUAUUUUACAUUACCACGACCACAAUUUUUCAAAUACUUCUGUUUUUUUGUUUGUAUCGGCAACUUAAGUAGUGCUGCUGUCCACCCUAAUUCUUAAAACCCUCAGAAUCCUUGCAGUUUUUACACAAAAGUUAAUCAAAAUAUGAUAUUUCCUUAAAAUUUUGAACGAUUUUUACUUUCACUCCACUUUGACUCGUCGUUUUGUAAAAAAAACAGUAUGAACACUACUGCGGCAAGUUUAUUAUAAAGUUGACGCAACUAUCCAAGAUUCCAAAAUGGUAUAAUACUCUAAGAAAACUAGUCGCAAAAAAGAUAUGCGUACCAUUUUUACAAGUACUUCGCUUGUUAGUUAGUAUGGGAUAAAUCUUGCAAUUAAAUUUAAAACCAGUUCUCCUCAACCAAUUGAGCUGAAAUUUGGUAUACUUAUGUAAGUACGAUGACAUUGCAAUAUUAUGGUAUCAUUGAGCUGGAUGGAGUCUGGAGGUGGCCAUAGGAACUUCUAAACGAAACGGCGGAAUCGCAACUAGUUUGGGUUCGUUGGACAUCUUUUCGAGCACUUUAGUGCUAGAUGAUGUCCAUGGUCCUGAUGAUGAAGUCAAGAGGUGACCAGGAGCUGGCCAAAGGAACUCCUAAUCGAAAUGGCGGAUGAUUAUCGAGUUUGGGUUCGUUGAAUUUGACUUCCCGAGCACUUGGACCAUGAGAUUGAGAAACAACUAAAAAGUGUAAAAUAAAGUUAUAAUAAAAAAAAACUUUUUUAAGAACAAGCAUUAAUGCGAAAUUUUACGAAAGAAUUUAACUAUAAAAAUAAUUGAAUGCAAGGUUCAAAUAAUUUCGAAAGUUUGUAGCGCAAACAGAAAAAAAGAGGAAUAAAUUCCAUGCGCGAUUACAACUUUAUUUUAAACUUUUUAGUUGUUUCUCAAUCUCAUGGCCCAAGUGCCCGAGAAGACAAAUCCAACGAACCCAAACUCGAUAAGCUUCCACUAUUUCGUUAAGGAGUUCCUAUGGCCAGCUCCUGGCCACCUCUUGACUUCAUCAUCAGGAUCCUGGACAUCAUCUAGCACCAAAGUGCUUGAAAAGACAAAUCUAACGAACCUAAACUAGAUGCAAUUCCGCCGUUUCAUUUAGAAGUUCCUAUGGCCACCUCCAGACUCCAUCCAGCUCAAUGAUACCAUAAUAUUGCAUUGUCAUCGUACUUACAUAAGUAUACCAAAUUUCAGCUCAAUUGGUUGAGGAGAACUGGUUUUAAAUUUAGUUGCAAGAUUUAUCCCAUACUACUAACAAGCGAAGUGCUUGUAAAAAUGGUACGCAUAUCUUUUUUGCGACUAGUUUUCUUACAGUAUUAUACCAUUUUGGAAUCUUGGUGUUAAUCGAACUAACUAUUCUAAUUCUGUCGUAUCAAUAAAAACCAGUUUCAGAAACGUAUACCGUCUAUUCUUCCUCAAGUGACAUUAAUAAAAAAAAGCGAACAUCGAAAGUUAAUAGACAAUAAAAAAACAUAGCGUAAAAAAGUAUACAUAUUUAUAAAAAAGUGUCCAUUCGUGGACAUCCUCCCCUUUUUUAAAGGAAAACGAUUUUUCGCAUCUACUACCCAGUCGGAGCACCUUCCGCCAACAGCUCCUACCCAUCAAAUCAGUCUUGACUCUUCGCACGAGUCGAUCCCAGGUGCCGCCCAUAAAUGGAGCCGAAGGGAGUAUGAAGCGCCAGACGAUUUUAUUGAUCGCAGUGUAGUCCGAAACCGCAGUAUCGUAGAGGACCCGAAGUUGCCGAUUUGCUCCAACAAAUGACGUGCCAUCAUCGGAGAGAUUGGCGCUCGAUGUGCGAUAAACCUCUGGAAACACAUAAUAGCCGUAUCCGCAGGGAGGCUUGCAACGAUCUCAAGGUGGAUGGCUCUCGACCAUGCACGUGAAUAAUGCCACCCAACGUUUCUCCUUCCUGCGACCGAUGGCAACUUCAACUGGUCCAAAAUAAUCAAUGCCGGUAAAAGUGAAAGGGCGCUGAUGGUGAGCUAAUCUUUCCUCCGGAAGAUCUCCCAUUGGAGGACAGAGCGUUGAUCUCCGAAGCAGCUUACAAGUCUGACAUCUAUGUAUGACCCACCGAACAGCGUUUCGUAUGCCGAGAAUCCAAAACUUCUGCCGCAGUUCAUUAAUGACACUCUCCGUGUUGCAAUGAGCGAAUUUCUCAUGGUAAUGAAGAAUAAGAAGGCGUACCAGUGGCUCUUUGCCAUCCAAAAGUACCGGUAGCUGCGCCAAAGUCGACGAUGUUCUCCCCGCGAGGCACAGCAAUCCAUCCUUCAACACCGGGGAUAGUGUGACAAGGCGGCUCUUUCUUGGCACGGGUUGGUGGCGCAUCAGACAGAGCAUUUCCUCUUGAAAAACGUUCAGCUGACUCCGAGCCAGAAGAUGUCGUUCCGCACGCAGAAUGUCCUCAGCUUUUAGCGGCAAUAGGCAAGGAGCUGUGGCGAAAGGGGUCGAAGAUUGAAAACCUGAUCUUUGCGUUAAACAAAUAUCCCCAACCCAAAAAUUUUGAAAAAUGUGACCCCGAUUUUUGAAUAUGAGCGCGAGAAAUAUAUGGACCCUAGCAGUCGCCCUUACCAGUCUAACCCAAGAGCUGUUCGGAUGGUACGAUGUCAUACGUUCGGGUGGUACGAUGUCAUAUGAAAUGGGUGACUUGAAGCCUUUUUCCGCAGGCCACUCACUGAUUGGAGUUACUAAAAGGUCUGGACAAUAUCGUGACUCAAUGCCGCAUGUUCCAGUGAGAGUCAGUCCAGAAAAAACGCCGACGCGGUUUAAUUCGAUGUGCGUCUCCAAUAGUCGUGGCCCGACGAGAAGCUAUCAAAGCUCCCUGCAAUUCCAAUCGGGGAAUUGAAGCGGGCUUAAGCGGAGAUACCUGUGCAUUGUUAGCCACAAAUUCUGAAAAAGUAUCCGACCUCUCACUAGUAUGGGAGCGAUGUCCACGAAUGGACACUUUUUUAUAAAUAUGUAUACUUUUUUACGCUAUGUUUUUUUCAGUUUUCUCAUUUUUGUUUGUUCGAAUAAGGGAUUCUUCCACAAUUCCGGAGAGAUUAUAAUACGGCCCAUUGAACUGUGGGUCAAUACUCCUUCUUUUCCUCAUCAACAUGGGCAUUGUUGAACAAAUAUUGUUUAUUGUUAAUCCAGGGAUCUGCUUUAAUAAUGAGUCAGACUCACACAUCAAGAAGCCCUCUUGUAGGCAGGACUGAGGAUCUAGAAGCAUUGGGUUCUUGACCACAAUACUUGAGGAUUUUGAUGAAGGAUAAGCAAGAUACAAGUAUGGUAUAGGAGAGGAGUAGCAUUUAUUCUUUAUCCAUAUCUUCGGCUCCCACUUUACAUAAUGUAGCAGUUGAAACCUCGUUUCUGGUUGAGGGAUCGUUACUUUAAUAACCAACUGUCCAUUUGUCUCAUCAAUGGCCUUUAAAGAGGUGACUAAGUGAGGAGAUAUUGAUGAUAUGUAGAGAAGUAACCCGGAGCUUAUUUUCUGCUCUAACCAAUUCCUCUGAGUUUCUAGACUCAUUAUGAAUGGAGGAAUUUUCCCUUGAAGCAGGAUCAUCAAAGAAAAUGUUAACUGGCUGAGGUAAUUUGUUAACAGAUGUGCACCACGAAUCUUAAUCUCGGAUAGUGUCUCAACAUCAGAUAUUAACUUCUUGAAUUCAUCUGUUGUGUCCCUUAUUUGUUCAUUAAGAGACAUCGUUACUAGUGAGAUUUUUUCCAAUACUUUAAGAUCCUCUUCUCUUCUAUCAUAAAGAUUUUGGAUCUGCUGGGUCAGUUCCUGGUAUUUUUGAUCUGGGAUAGCACCAAAUAUAUCUGCCAUCUCAUAGGCGAAGACGCCGGCUGAUAUUGCGUAACCCGUGUAUUUUAAGGUUUUAAUGAAUUUCCCAUACUUAGUUAACUGUCCACCAACCCGAGCCACUGGUCUAAUAGCCCUUAGAAAAGCCAUCACUACUCUCAAGGGAUUGCGCUUGGUUCUAGAUAAAUGAGUCAUAUCAAACGUUUUCCGCUCCUCUGAUAUUUCAGUUGGGUAGGGGGUCACAAUUAGCUGUUGGAAGGUUGACAAGAUGCUGGUGUACUGCUGUUGAUAGAUCUUUUCAAGAUAACCAAAUUGCCUAGAGAGACUCUUGUAAACAGCUGCAGGUGUCUUCUCUCUAUCUACCGUUGCUAGUGCGUCAUGAAGCAUGCGUUCGGGAGGUGUAAGUUUGAUUAUGAGGGCUUCAUCUGCAUAGUCAUCUAUCAGUGCACCUUUAAUUAUUGGUGCUCUAGUUUCUACAAGGAGCGGCUCCUCUUCUUCACCUAGAAUGUCACUGAAAGCACAGUUAAUACUUAAAAAUAAUACAAAAGCUACUAAAAAUCUCAUCUUUGAAUUUAAAUUAACGGGUUCAGAGCUUAAUGUAGAGAUAAGAAAUAUGUCCCAUUUCAGUUUUUAGUUUGUUUGUUUAUAUUUUUAAUAAUCUUUAUCGGUUUUUUCUAAACAUAACUAUGUCAUUGAUUGGUUAACAUUAAUAUAUCAAAAAUAAUCAGGUAUAUAUCCCUUAUAACCCAAUGUUAUAUAAUUUAUUUACUCAAUCCACUCUCCUGAUCCAUCACUAUCAAGAUCCUUAUAUGAGGAAAAUGAUACUGCAACUGGUGCUUUGGUCUCUAUCCUUUCUUGUCUAUAUCCAGUUCCAAGAUUUGGUCCUGUUUGAGGUAUUUGAGGUGGGAUAUUCAUCUCUUGGCCUGUCCUCUUUACUGCCUCUGAGGUAAGGACUCUCAAUGUCUCAUUCAUUCGGGACAUUAGUAAUGUCAUCUCAUCAGCACGUGAUGGUCCUCUACUUGUUUCUAAUCUUUCAUUAUUAUGGUUACUCUCUUGUAAAUUUUCAGUUAUGGAUUUUUUGAUGGUUUCCGAUAUUUCAUGCUUAAGAUCUUGAAUAUUGAAAAAAUCAAUUGAGGUUUCAGCUGAGUCUAUCUUAAUACCUUGUUCUUCGAUGAGAGCUUCCGAUUCACGCCUCGAAUCGUCGCGUGAUACCAUAAUAUGAAACACUGGAAUGGACGAGGUAACCGCUUGCGUUUUGUUACCCGAAAACCCAAACAAAACCCAUCCCAGUUGAGUUCGAAUGGCAACCGGCUGAGAUUUCGAACCACUUCUGGUCUCGGAAGGGACUGUGAGAGACCAGUUAUCGACACCUAUAAUCAGCAUGGGCCUCGCUUCAUCGUAGCAUAAUUCGUGUACUAUGUCAGCUAAAUACGGAAAUGAUUGGAGGCUUUCUCGUGGCGCAGACUGGCUGCGCAGCCCUAAGUCCUUUAUCGACCUCGCCCCUUGAAUAGGGUAACUCGUAUCGGAACAACGACCUUUUAUUUCAAAAUCCACAUACUGCACGGCGCUAUCUUUUGUUAAACCACCUACACAAUCUAAAUGAAUUUGUCCCUGAGGACCUUCAGCGCCUAUUCGAGAGGCGAUGUCGGAGUCGAUCAGCGUGGCUGUAGACCCGUCGUCUAGUAGUGCAAACGUAUCGACACUACCAGCAGGCCCAGACACGGUAACAGCCACUACCUUUAAUAAGGGACGUAAUGCAGGAUUGUUAACUAGCGUAUCGGUUGCGUUGAUAGCUACCGUAUCAGGUUUCGAGUUAGAUGACGUUGAAGGAGAUGAUUGUUCGAUAUUAUGAUGUGCGGCCGAAAUGUGAUUAGGUUUAAAAUUUGGAUCGUGUAAUAGCAUGUGAUGUUUUGCAUCGCAACCGUUUGCCUGACAAUUUAAUUUGUUCCUAUUGCACGUUUUAAAAAUGUGGAAACCUCUUUUUAGACAGCGGUGACAGAUUUUAUUCCUUUUAAUAAAAUGCCAUCUGUCAUCGACUGUCAAUGACAUGAAGUCUUUGCAAUUUGACAGAUCGUGCGUUUGUUUACAAAAUGAACAAAUUUUUGAUGUUGGAUGAUUCGGAACAUUUAUUGGAUGCAUUGCAGGUGCCUUGAAAGUCGUACCUGAAGUUGACUCGGAGAUGGUAUGUGUCCGGUGGUGAAUUGGGCCCUGUGUCGUGGCAUCGGCCACCGCCCCAAACUUUACCACUAAAUCCACCUCACGAGAUAGGAAGCGCGACAACAUCUCUACCUUACCUUGGCCUAAACUCUCGUUAGCGGCAGCGAAAUCCAGCCAUCGUGCGCGUAGCAGUGGAGUCAACUUACUUAACAGUCCCCCGAAGAGCUCAGGGGAGCGUAAAUAAUCGUGGUGUUCCAAUAAUUUCACAAUUUCGACACAGUUACGCACACGAGUGGCAAAGAUUGUCAGAUCCCGCACUUCCGGGCCCAGUUUAGGCAAGGCUUUGAUGGAAUUGACCUCCUGCAAAACGAUUAACUCAGGCCUUCCGAAACGACGUUCCAAUGCGUCAAUUACGUCUUCCGCUCGAUGCGCCAUCACCAACAAUGUCCCUACGGCCUCUCGUGCGGCUCCUCUCAGAGCCUGGUUUAGCCGGGCGAGGUUCUCCGUAUCUGAAAAUGUAUUAGAUGUGUCAACAAAUGCACGUUUAAACAUGAGCCAUUCUAAUGGAGAUUUCCCAUCGUAUGUCGGCAACGGUGUCACAUUUUUGCUAAACGAUGGUUGUUGCUUCUCGGCAAAGGUGUGUAGGGCUUCAACAAGCUGCGCAACGUCAAUCGUGUCACCCUCUCCAUCGUAGUGCUUAUCGAUGGCAUUGACCCCAUUGCCUCGUUGAUGAUCGCGCCGAGGCGGAUUCGAAGGGCCCGAUGCCGGCACUAGAGGGAUGACGGCGUCAACGCAGUGCUCAUUUUCAGCCUGUUGACACACUUUUGGAGAAUUAACAUGCCCUACCUCCGCACCGUGGUGCGGUUCGUUCUCGGAGUCCUGCAGCCAUUCGGCCACUCGUGAGUUACUGGACUCCGAGACUGCCUCACUCAAUGCUUCAAUGGAAGCCAGCUCCGCUUGAUAUUCGGCCUCCGCCACUUUACGCUCUAAUUCUGCAAGGCGGCGAAGGUGGCGCGCCUCCGCUGCGAGUUUCCUCGCAACAAUCGUAGCGGAGGAGCGGCGGCUACGUGCGGAUAAGGAAGACGGGCGGGUGGUAUCGAUAAUCGGAUUGGUUGUUACCUGUGUUUCCGAAGGAUCCGUUUGGGUGGCCGGUGUAGGAGGCAUUGGAACGACCUCGCUACUUGCCUGAAUUGGUUCCUUUUGCGAACGUGUAUUUGCCAUCAUCUAAUUUUUACCAACCGCUUUUUACCAAUAUACUGAGAACUGCUGAAAAAUAAGCUAGUGAUCCGGCUCGAAGAUGUUAAUCGAACUAACUAUUCUAAUUCUGUCGUAUCAAUAAAAACCAGUUUCAGAAACGUAUACCGUCUAUUCUUCCUCAAGUGACAUUAAUAAAAAAAAGCGAACAUCGAAAGUUAAUAGACAAUAAAAAAACAUAGCGUAAAAAAGUAUACAUAUUUAUAAAAAAGUGUCCAUUCGUGGACACUUGGAUAGUUGCGUCAACUUUAUAAUAAACUUGCCGCAGUAGUGUUCAUACUGUUUUUUUACAAAACGACGAGUCAAAGUGGAGUGAAAGUAAAAAUCGUUCAAAAUUUUAAGGAAAUAUCAUAUUUUGAUUAACUUUUGUGUAAAAACUGCAAGGAUUCUGGGGGUUUUAAGAAUUGGAGUGGACAGCAGCACUACUUAAGUUGCCAAUACAAACAAAAAAACAGAAGUAUUUGAAAAAUUGUAGUCGUGGUAAUGUAAAAUAUCAUAAGGGGUGUCAAUUUUCGACGAAUUUCAUAAUUUAUUGUGUAACUUAAAAAAUAAUUGAGAUAGAUUUUUUUUCUUAUUUUUCCUAAAGUAGUCAUGACUAUGUCCAUCCUACGGCGCCGGCUUAUCCUUGAAUUUUGGGACACGUUGUAUAUGUUUUGAACAAACCGUUCUCGUGCAAAUGUUCGCCGAACGCCGUAAGUCCUUUACGCGGUAUAACCGGAAAACCGAAAAAGCGCCCCUUUCGGGGGCCCCCACCACUUAAGCACAACUCCGUCGAAGUCGAAAACCUAGGAGAGUCUUUAUGGGCAACUAAUGAAGCCAUUAAAGCACUAAAAUCUUUAGUAGGAAUUGUUUUACAUUUAAUUCAUUUUUGUGUUUAAUUCUUCUGGCCUAUUAGAAAACAUUCCCGUUAAAAAGUUCGUAAAAUACCUACCUACUUAUUUUUAUGAUUUAACGUGAUGAAAUCGAGUUUUAGAUUUUCAAGUGAAAGUAAAGCAUAGCCUAAUGCAAGAUAUUUUACGCUCCUAUCUAAAUUAAUCUUUUUUUAUUUCGGCUUUGGAGCGCGGGGCCCCCAAAUUCGCGGGGCCCGUAGCAUUUGCUACUCUUGCUACGUGGCUAAUCCGGCACUGUCCCGACGAAUCCAUAUGUAGUUAUCUAAGCCUGAUGCAAAAUUACUUUUCGAGGUUGCGUAAACCUUUAGACGAGGAAGAGAAGUUGAGCUUAAUCAAGUUCAACAUUAGGCCAUCUUACUCCAUUCCUUUGGUCAAUGUUGAAAUAAAAUCGUGGGCCGACUUGAAGAGGCAUUGUAGGCAGUUAGAGGCGGCGAGACAGAGGGCAGAAUCCUUCACCGAACCCCCGCGCGGUGUACAGAAUGCUGUCGCCCCUGACCUGGCCUACAAAAGUAAGUCUGCUCGUCCAAAGUGUGAGGCUGUAGUUAAAAGUCCGAGCAUGGAGAAGUUUUGCGUGCGUUGCCGUGUGAAGGACCACACGCUCCGCGAUUGUAAGGCGCCUCAUGUUAUUAUUUGUUAUCGUUGUGGUGAGAAGGGCGUGACCGCUGUCAAUUGUCCGAAGUGUGUACGCCAGAAGGACGUCAAAGUCUUUGGAGUCACAAAACGCGUGGCGACGGACCGUCGUUUUGAUGUUACACCUGUUGAAGAGUGGCGUGCUUGGUGUGAGUACGUGCGUGUAUUUUCUAGAAAUUGCAAAGCUAAUGUUGCGACGGUCCGACCAGAUGAUUGUCAGGACGCACGUCCUUAUUUGAAGGUUAAGAUUGGUGGUGUUCCGUGUUCUGGAUUAUUAGAUUCUGGAGCGGAAGUUUCUAUUGUUGGUGGUUCUGCUGUGAAUUAUUUUUCUCAUCUGGGUGAGUUGUAUAAGUCGGAUUCGACUGAUGCUGUGGUAACGGCGAAUGGUUCAACUUCCCCUACGGUCGGAUAUAUGUUUUUACCUGUCGUAGUGAAUGAUGUGUUGAAGGUUAUAAAGUUUUAUGUGGUUCCUGGAUUUUCGUCGUCUUUGUUGUUUGGCAUCAACUUCUGGAAAGCUUUUCAGAUAGCGCCUGAUGUUUUGCGACUUGUGAAUCGGAGGGAUUCGAUUGUUAGGCAUGCUGAGGCAGUCGUGUCUCAGAGGUUGACUGGUGGUACUGGUAAAGCUUCUAAACACCCGAAGGUUCGUCGUAGACCCUUUCAGUGUGUCAGCGUCGGUUUUGUUGGUUCACUGCCCAGGUCUCGACGGCAAGUGUUUGAAGUGGAUAGGAAAUUGAGGAAAUCUCACUUGCGAGAUGAAUGUUAUAAUAGGCGUCGGAGAGAUGUCGAGUUUGAAAAAGAUGAUGUGGUUUGGCGGCGCACGCAUGUCCGUAGCGACGCUGCUAAACAUUUUUCUUAUAAGUUGGCACCUAGAUUUGAAAAAUGUAGGAUUGUUAAAAAGUUAUCUAAACUUGUUUACUUGCUGGAAGAUGAAAAUGGUAAACAUAGUGAAUGUCACGUGAAAGACAUUAAGGGUUUAGAUUGAAAUGUUGAUCUUUGUUGUGUAUAGUGGUGGUUUGUUUCUGUAAGAUAGUUUGAUGCUGGAGGGCCAGCGUGAAUUUUUCUCGUUAUCCUCGUAAAAUUCUGGUGGGUGAAGGGGUACUGUAACACUUUUUUUCUUGGCGAGAUUAAUUACUUACCGAUUUCCACAAACAAACAUUCCAACUGACCGUAAGGUCACAUAUUACAAAGUGUACAGUAUUUCCUUUGUCACUUGAUUGUGUCAUCGUUGGAGAUUCACUGAAUUUGGAUUAACUUGUAUUAAAAAUUAAUUACGUUGUUUUGGUGAACAGAGCAAUAAAUAACCUCACUUUUUGAAUGUCUCCGUUUGACAGAUCAAUGCGUUACGUUCCAUUCUUUUAGUAUAGAAGAAGUGUAUAAUGAAAUUAAAUAUUCAACACUAAAUUUUUAUAAAACUUAAUAUUUAGGCUCUUUAAUUUAAAUUCUAGCUAUUUCUAGUAUUUUCCUCAAUGUUUAUAUUAAAAUAACAUUGUAUUGUAUCUUGAUCGAACAUGGGUUCGGAACGUUCUAGAAAUUUGACAUAUUCUGAGUGAAACGAAACACACAGGUGACGUUCAGAAACUUGCUUGUUUGUUAUUUUUUUUCUUCCUAAAGUUUAAUUAGGUAUUUAAUUAAAUUUAAAUGAGAGAAGCAGUAUUGUGAGUUCUCAUAUCGAAAUUAUUCAAUAAGAGGCUAGUUAAAACAAGUAGGUAGCAUUUAUUGAAAGUAAAGAUAAAAAUUAUACAAUACUGCUUGAUAUUGUGAUUUGUUGGAGUGACAAGUUUUCGAACGAACAUCUGAGUCACGGGUGAUGACCGGCGCUUUUUGGAGGGUCCUGUCCUUUUGCUUGGUUGGCGGUGAUCGCGAACGGAAGUUCUGUUGUACGUGGUGUGAUAGUGUCCCGAAUUCCAAGAGGUCUGAACCGUGCCGUUCCCUGAUAAACGGGCAGGGCACGCAUCGUCAUCCUCUACGUUAAAAGGGAAUUUUGGAAUAAAACCGAAAUCCCGCUGUCCGCCGAUUUCGUGGACUCACUGCCACGUGCUGAGUUCUGUUACUGAAGAUUGUGUGUGGUUGAGCAGUGCUCGGUGGCGAGCCUCUGCGCUGUCUGCUGUUGCUGUUGAUGUUGCUGAUGUUGCCUCCAUAGCAGGUAUGUUGUGGUUUCUUUCUCAAACUCAUUCGCCUCUCCGCUGAGUUAGGAUGAAUUACUAGAAACGUGGCACUCGGUCACGGGCUACCCUACUUCAUAGGUUGGCUCCAUUUCUAUUGAGCUUGUUGACUAUUUUAGUUUACUUUGAAAAAGUAGAUUACCCACGUAAUGAUUACAUUUUACCAAAAUGUAAAUUCCUAAAUAAAUUUACCAUUGUAAUGAAUUACCGUUGGAUUUUGCUGUGUUCACAUUUGCUCCAUCCUCGAGAGCGAUGGAUUAUUGUUUUUAUAUUGUUUUUAGUAUUAUGUAUUGUGCUGUUGUAUAAUAUAAUUUCUUAUUGUACAAUAGGAGGUGUAUGGUACCGGCCAUUUUGUAUGGCACUGGCCAUAAAGGUGUUUGGCACCGGCUGUCCCGCAGUGCCAGACGCUUGCUGCGCCCGACGGGUGCGGAGGGGGUUGAGCCGAGUGGUGGAUAAUAGCGCGCUAAUCUUAAGUAUUUUUAAUCUGUACCAACCAAACGGCCCAACGACCCAUCCCUUCCUUUUUUAUCUAGUUUUAUUGUCUCACCCGCAAUAAAUUGUUGUCAAUUUAAA